CAGCAGCCGCGGGAAAACGGAGGGGGCUAGCGUUGUUCGGAAUUACUGGGCGUAAAGCGCACGUAGGCGGCUUGGUAAGUUAGAGGUGAAAGCCCGGAGCUCAACUCCGGAAUUGCCUUUAAGACUGCCGAGCUAGUAGGUGAGAGAGGUAAGUGGAAUUCCGAGUGUAGAGGUGAUAUUCGUAGAUAUUCGGAAGAACACCAGUGGCGAAGGCGGCUUACUGGCUCAUUCUAGACGCUGAGGUGCGAAAGCGUGGGGAGCAAACAGGAUUAGAUACCCGUGUAGUCCCUGUCUCUUAUAU
rnacentral:rRNA from 1 species